AGUGGCGUACGGGUGAGUAACACGUGACUAACCUACCCUCGAGUGGGGAAUAACCUCGGGAAACCGGGGCUAAUACCGCAUAACAUCCACGGAUCAAAUGCGUAAGCAGCUUGAGGAGGGGGUCGCGGCUGAUUAGCUAGUUGGCGGGGUAAUGGCCCACCAAGGCAGUGAUCAGUAGCCGGCCUGAGAGGGCGCACGGCCACACUGGAACUGAAACACGGUCCAGACUCCUACGGGAGGCAGCAGUGGGGAAUUUUGCGCAAUGGGGGAAACCCUGACGCAGCAACGCCGCGUGGAGGAUUAAGCCCCUUGGGGUGCAAACUCCUUUCGAUCGGGACGAUUAUGACGGUACCGGAUGAAGAAGCACCGGCUAACUCUGUGCCAGCAGCCGCGGUAAUACAGAGGGUGCAAGCGUUGUUCGGAAUUAUUGGGCGUAAAGGGUGCGUAGGCGGUGCGGUAAGUCUUCUGUGAAACCUCCGGGCUUAACUCGGAGCCUGCAGGGGA
rnacentral:rRNA from 1 species